rnacentral:ncRNA from 1 species
CAAAAGCUUGGUCCUGACUUUAUUAUCAGCUACAGCUAAAUUUACACAUGCAAGUAUCCGCACCCCCGUGAAAAUGCCCUGCAAUUCUCUGCCCGAGAACAAGGAGCCGGCAUCAGGCACAACCCACUAGCCCAAGACGCCUUGCUUAGCCACACCCCCAAGGGAACCAGCAGUGAUAAACAUUAAGCAAUAAGUGAAAACUUGACUUAGUCUUAAAGCUAAGAGGGCCGGUAAAACUCGUGCCAGCCACCGCGGCUAUACGAUAGGCCCAAGUUGAUAUCUAACGGCGUAAAGAGUGGUUUAAUACCUCGCAAACUAAAGCCGAACACUUUCUAUGCCGUCAUACGCACUUGAAAGCAUGAAGUACAACCACGAAAGUGGCUUUAUAAUAUUUGAACCCACGAAAGCUAAGAAACAAACUGGGAUUAGAUACCCCACUAUGCUUAGCCCUAAACAUUGAUAGCACCCCACACAAGCUAUUCGCCAGGGAACUACAAGCAUAAGCUUAAAACCCAAAGGACUUGGCGGUGCUUAAGAUCCACCUAGAGGAGCCUGUUCUAGAACCGAUACCCCCCGUUCAACCUCACCCUCUCUUGACCCUUCCCGCCUGUAUACCGCCGUCGUCAGCUUACCCUGUAAAGGAACCAUAGUAAGCAAAACUGGCACAGCCCCAAACGUCAGGUCGAGGUGCAGCGCAUGAGAGGGGAAGAAAUGGGCUACAUUGACUACUUUAGUGAAUACGAAUAAUGCACUGAAACGCGCAUCCGAAGGAGGAUUUAACAGUAAGCAGAGAAUAGAGCGCUCCGCUGAAGUUGGCUCUAAAGCGCGCACACACCGCCCGUCAUUCUCCCCGAUCAAUAUUCCAUAGUAACUAAAAUAUCUCAUCCACAAAGGGGAGGCAAGUCGUAACAUGGUAAGUGUACCGGAAGGUGUACUUGGACAAAC